CAGAGGCGGUGCGGUCAUCUGGGAUGGAGUAGCCGUGGGCAGGGGAGCGGAGGGUCCCCGCGCAGGCGUUUGAGAGCCUCCACGAGAGCUUGGGACGUUCUUGCGCCACAGAAAGCAGACCUGUGGGCUGGUCAGGCUGUCGAUGGGCUGCUGGGUGACUCGCUGAAUCACCUGAUUUCAGGAGCAGAGGGACAACUUGGCCCGGAAGAGCGACAGAGGAGGCGAGCUGUGCGCCGUAAGCAGGUGCGAAGCGAAGAGGAAAGCGGGCUGUCGGCAGCUCAGCUCCUCGGGCCAGGCGGCAGCUGAGCGUCUCGGCGGUCCGCGGCGUGGCAGUCAAAAGCAAGGGCGGCCGGGUGGGCGAGCGGCCCAGGUAAGGGAGGGCGAGCUGGGACCGUCUGCGGGCAGGCUGUGUUUUCGGGCGGCGUCCGAGCGCGUGCCUCUGGUUUUGCGGGUGCCGCAGACGGGCCGGCAGGGGCGAAGCCGCACGCCGGCCGGCAGCCGAGAAGGUGAGGCGGCGGUGGGCGUUGAGGAGCCCGGUAUUGCCCGGUCUCUCGCUUCAUCUUUUCCUUCUCGCUUUGCAGGCGCUUUGUGGGCCCUCUGGACCGGGAGGAGCAUUUGCGGCGUCACCAGCGCUGAGGGUUUGUGACCGCGCCAGCGGCAGGACACGCCGACCGGACCGCCCUGGAGCUCAGCAGGAGGCGCUGAAGAGGAACCCGGCGACGCGGGAAGACGGCCGUUGGCGCACGUGGCGUUUUCCUCUGCCGAAGAUGGGUUCGGUCCCUCGGCCCUCUGAAAGCUAAGUGGAGGCGCGAGGGCUGGGAAGGGGCCGGGAAUGGCAGGGCCGGGGGGUUUAGCUCUGCUAAGGGCAAGGGCCGUCCAGGAACCGCGCCCUUGGCGCGGGUCAAGGGCCCGGGGACCUUUACCGUGCGAUGCCAGCGUGUGCCGGGCAGGGCAGCUCCAGCCUGCGUCUGCGUUGUGGUGUAGUUCGGGAAGCCUGCCUUGCGCCCGUCACCCGAUCCUGGGGUCUCGUUGCGUUCGAGGGGCACGGAAGGCCUCUCGGGUGCCACCCCGGGAUCUGGAACGCCGGUGCCGAUUGGACGCCGGUUUUCUGGUGUCGGCAGCCGAAAGCGUGGCGGGUUCUUGCCUUUCGGCCGCUUCUGGUCAGGGGUGUUUGCGGCGUUGUCCUGGGCUGUGCCGGCAGCCGUGCUCUCUACCCAUCCAGUCUAAGGGACUGGCACUUC